AUGCCCGCCUUCAUGGGCUAUUUCUAUAGUUGAGUCUAGAGAAAUUUCUCUAAAACAUAUAAGAAAAUUACAAAGGAAGAGGUGCAACUUUCUCCUGAGCAUGAAACCAACUCUUGAUGUUGCCUUGCUGUAACUGUUGUUUGUCAUUGAUGAUCAUUCUUUUCUUUGGGGAUCUACUAGCUCUGA
rnacentral:snoRNA from 1 species